UGCGUUNUGAACUGGGUGGCUAGAGUGUGUCAGAGGGGGGUAGAAUUCCACGUGUAGCAGUGAAAUGCGUAGAGAUGUGGAGGAAUACCGAUGGCGAAGGCAGCCCCCUGGGAUGGCACUGACGUUCAUGCCCGAAAGCGUGGGUAGCAAACAGGAUUAGAUACCCUGCUAGUCCACGCCCUAAACGAUGUCGAUUAGCUGUUGGGCAACUUGAUUGCUUGGUAGCGAAGCUAACGCGUGAAAUCGUCCGCCUGGGGAGUACGGUCGCAAGAUUAAAACUCAAAGGAAUUGACGGGGACCCGCACAAGCGGUGGAUGAUGUGGAUUAAUUCGAUGCAACGCGAAGAACCUUACCUGGUCUUGACAUGUACGGAACCUUCCGGAGACGGAGGGGUGCCUUCGGGAGCCGUAACACAGGUGCUGCAUGGCUGUCGUCAGCUCGUGUCGUGAGAUGUUGGGUUAAGUCCCGCAACGAGCGCAACCCUUGUCAUUAGUUGCCAUCAUUUGGUUGGGCACUCUAAUGAGACUGCCGGUGACAAGCCGGAGGAAGGUGGGGAUGACGUCAAGUCCUCAUGGCCCUUAUGACCAGGGCUUCACACGUCAUACAAUGGUCGGUACAGAGGGUAGCCAAGCCGCGAGGUGGAGCCAAUCCCAAAAAACCGAUCGUAGUCCGGAUUGCACU
rnacentral:rRNA from 1 species